UGAGGAAUAUUGGUCAAUGGUCGGGAGACUGAACCAGCCAAGCCGCGUGAGGGAGGAAGGUACAGAGUAUCGUAAACCUCUUUUGUCAGGAAACAAAGGCGGGGACGUGUCCCCGGAUGAGUGUACCUGAAGAAAAAGCAUCGGCUAACUCCGUGCCAGCAGCCGCGGUAAUACGGAGGAUGCGAGCGUUAUCCGGAUUUAUUGGGUUUAAAGGGUGCGCAGGCGGUCUGUUAAGUCAGCGGUCAAAGCCCGGGGCUCAACCCCGGCCCGCCGUUGAAACUGGCAGUCUCGAGUUGGAGAGAAGUAUGCGGAAUGCGCGGUGUAGCGGUGAAAUGCAUAGAUAUCGCGCAGAACUCCGAUUGCGAAGGCAGCAUGCCGGCUCCACACUGACGCUGAGGCACGAAAGCGUGGGUAUCGAACAGG
rnacentral:rRNA from 1 species